CAGAAAAUGACUGAUUGAGAUGAGAUGUUGGUGAACAGCAUCUUGACCCUUGGGUCAAGUGACAGUAAAGGACUCAGGAUGUACGCAUGGAGAAAGCUUUCAGGAAGUGGGACCAGCAUGAAAUAAAGCUGUGAGGUGAGGAAGAGCUUAUUUUAAAAACUAGAUGUGGCAAUGGGGGAACAGUGUGCCUCAGACACUGAGCAGAGGGCAAAUGGCAUGAAGUGAUGAUGGUGAGGGAGGGGAUGAGUCCCAUGGGCUCUACUCUGAGUGUAAUGAGAAGCCUUUGAAUGGUUAAUCAACUUUGUAACAUAAUCCAGUUUCCACAAUAGGAACUUUUCAUGCAAUGUGAGGAAUGAAUUGUGAGGGGAAGAAUGGAAGAGGAGACCACAAAGAAGCAGUUGCAAGAGUCCAAGUCGGAAAUACUGGCAUCAAGGACCUGAAUGAUAACAGAGGAAAUGGGGAGUAGAGGACAAAAUGAGAUUUGCCUUUGAGGUUUAGAACUCACUGACUUCAGAGACAGAACACAGGUCAUUGAGAUAAAUUAACUACAGGAAAUGAGGAAAAGGAACAAGUCAAGAGAAACCAGAAAAUUUCUGUCUCAGGCAGCUGGGAGGAUGAGAACAAGCAAGUUGAGUUUUGAGAUGACCCUGGAGCAUUGUUGGCAACAAAUGAUUCAUGGACCACCACUCAUCUAUAGACCAGACAUUAGUAAGAUGUGCUUGCUUCUCCUUCGCCUUUCACCAUGACUGUAAGUUUCCAGAGGCCUCCCAGUCAUGGUUCCUGUUAAGCUUGCAGAACGGGUUUAUCCUGAAGCUGAUGAUUGAAAAAUGAAUCCUCAAACGUACUUCUAGGCCUCUACCAUCCAGGGAUCCUGCUACCUUCAUUAAAAUCAGGGAGCCAAUUUCAAAUGCAACAUCUACUAACAUCUCUGAAAACAAAACUCCACUAAAGUGCUUUUUCAAAAAUGCUGGUGUUUCCCUCAACAGUGGAUUUCUCAAAACCUUGAAAAGAGAGUGUCUUAUAAAUCCUCAGGGAACAACAUUUGCUGGGGGGAGGGAUGGGUCAUUCCUUCUCUCUCUAAGUCUUUGCAUUUUUUCCUGUGCAUUUUACCAAUAAAUUUCUGUCAUUCCAACCAGCUUCAGCUAGUAGCAGUUUUGAAUCUACGUUUUAGUAAGCCAACUAAUUAUCAUUAAAAGUAUAUCUGAG
rnacentral:lncRNA from 1 species